rnacentral:tRNA from 1 species
AAAUUUAGGUUACGUAUCAAACCAAGGGCCUUCAAAGCCCUAAACAGGACCGAUCCUAAUUUCUG